GCUGGGCAAUGCCAUGCCUAUAGCCCAGCUACUUGGGAGGCUGAGGCAGUAGGAUUGCUUGAGGCCAGGAGUUCUGGGCUAUAGUGCACGAUGCUGAUUGGGUGUCUACACUAAGUUUGGCAUAAAUAUGGUGACCUCCUGGGACCAGGGAACCACAGGUGCUACAGAGGGGUGAGCUGCCCCAGGUUGGAAACAAAGCAAAUCUGUAGAACUCCCAUACUGAUCAGUAGUGGGAUUGAGCCUGUGGAAAACCCUGCACUCCUGCCUGGGCAACAUAAUGAAGCCUUGUCUCU
rnacentral:SRP_RNA from 1 species